rnacentral:lncRNA from 1 species
CUGGGUUCCUGAUAUAUGUUGGAUGCUUAGGAUUUCAGCUUUAAUCUCAGGCUCUGGGAAGAAAGGCAUGUCCCCCUAAGGACUGUAAGAGGAGGCUUGACAGAUCCCAGUGUACCCUCUGUAGACUGGAUGCCCAGUCAAUGCUGGAGUGCCCUCCUGAGGUCUGAGCUAUUAUGGGGCAGGCCAGCUGUGGUUGCUGUGGCUCCUGUCCAUGACCUGUGGGAGGCCACAGCAGCUAGGCAAGUAGCCAGGUAUCAAUAGCAUCCCUUCCCAGGAGCCUGACAUAGCUUUUGAGCAUGGAGAUGAGAACCAGGCUAACCAGCCCAGGCCAAUCGCUUUCUGCCUGACAAAGAAUAGAAAGGAGUUUGGAGUUCAACCACACAGAAUAUUUAACCACAAAACUGUGAUGCUCAGCCUGUAAUAAUCCAUAAGAACCACCUGUGAGACUUGUUAAGCAUGAAGGUUCCUGGGCCCCACCCCAGAUUGUGAUUCAAUAGGUCUAGAGUGUGCUCUGGGGAUCUGCAUUUUAAAUCGUGUGUGAGUGAUUUUGAAGCAGAUGGCCCACAGGGCAAAUUGAAAGAAAUACUGCUUUAGCCUAAUAGCUAUCUUUUACAGUUGGGGAAAUUAAGGCUCAGGGAGAGACCCGAGUUGCAGUGACCCACAGGACCAGGAUCCAAGCUCCCCACUGCACAAGCCAGAGCUGCCCUCCGUUAGAAGAGAUGAGAUUUCCAAAGCUCCCAGCCACUUGAGCAUUUCAGGCACAUUCUCCGUUAUUGACAGGCACUAAUGGGGUAAUGAACUAAAGAGACCUGAGUUCACCCAAUAAUUGCAGGAAUACACUACCUCUCCUUAAAUAAAGUCAAAGAGAAGAGAUAGCAUCAUGCUCCUGGGAAUCCAAAAUGAAUAAAAAGACACACCAAGAGAAGGUAUAUGGUAUAUUCCUUAAAACUACACAAAUCUGUGGAAAUGAGACUGAAUCCCUCAAUCAGUAUGAAGAUAUGGACUCUGGGUGUGAUGAUUACAAAGAAAGCAGAAAGUGGCGACAGAACAGGCAGCAUGAACAGUG